AUUUGGUCAUGGCUACUAUUGCUCCUUGAUUUAAGUUGAUUUGAAGGCACUUUCGGCACUCUGGAUCUUCUCUGGAUUUGGCAGGAACUAUGAUUUCGGCAUUUUCACCCUGUGCACGCACCUCUGCUGCAUAGACAAAUGAACGCUCCCGUUUGAUGGCCUCUGGUUCUGCGAGAUUGAGGAGGAUGUAAGCCCUUGUCUUGGCAGGAAGUGAGAGUCCUUGAUGAGCCACACUCACAAACAUCAGAUGGUGAGG